GCCUCGGUAGCGUAGUGGUCAAGACGCUCGCCUGGUAAACAGGAGGGCGUGGGUUCGAUCCCAGCCAAGGCA
rfam:Asian citrus Psyllid, Diaphorina citri - Florida Strain, whole genome shotgun sequence.